rfam:Spirochaetaceae bacterium 4572_7 ex4572_7_scaffold_10037, whole genome shotgun sequence.
GGAGAGGUGUCCGAGUGGCCGAUGGUGACGGUCUUGAAAACCGUUGUGUGUAAUAGCACCGAGGGUUCGAAUCCCUCCUUCUCCG